GAAGACAGAACCAGCACACGGUGGAUGCCCAGGCGCUUCGUGCCGAUGAAGGACGUGGCAUCGCAGCGAAAUGCGCGGGGGAGUGGCGAGCGCACGGUGAUCCCGCGAUGUCCGAAUGGGGCAACCCGUCAGGCCAAAGCCUGACACCACCACCGGUUGGAGGGAACCAGGCGAACUGAAACAUCUCAGUAGCCUGAGGAAGAGCGAACGACCCCCGUAGUAGUGGCGAACGAACCGGGGUCACGCCCAAACCGUGACCGUGCCAAGCAGCCAGGCCUUGCGGUCACGGGGUUGGAGGACCCAAUUUGGGAGUACUGGCUUGCUCCCACGGCGCAUCUCAGGGUGCUGUCAAGGCGUUUGGAAAACGCCGCCAGAGAGCGUGACAGCCGCGUCGCACCACCCUGAGCUGACCGCGUUGGGUUCCUGAGUAGGGCCGGACACGGGAAAUCUGGCCUGAAGCUGGGAGGACCACCUUCCAAGGCAACUUACACGAAGCGACCGAUAGCGCAGAGUACCGUGAGGGAACGGUGAAAAGAACCCCGGCGAGGGGAGUGAAAGAGAACCUGAAACCGUGUGCUGACAUGCCGUCGGAGGGUUAGACCAUCGUACGAUGGUGGCCUGACGGCGUUCCUUUUGGAGUAUGAUCCGUCGAGUUACCCCCCAUGGCUGGUUAAGGCAGUGACAGCCGGAGCCGAAGUGAAAGCGAGCGUGCAAGGCGCGUUUGGUCGUGGAGGGUAGACCCGAAACCGUGUGAGCUACCCAUGGUCAGGCUGAAGCGUCCCUAACAGGACGUGGAGGGCCGCACCGGUGUCUGUUGCAAAAGGCUCGGAUGAACUGUGGGUAGGGGUGAAAUGCCAAUCGAACACGGAGAUAGCUGGUUCUCCCCGAAAUGCAUUGAGGUGCAGCCGCGGGGAAGGGCUUCGGGAGGUAGAGCACUGUUGCUGUGCGGGGGCUUCACCGCUUACCAAAUGGCGGCAAACUGCGAAUGCCCGAAGCUGUGACCGCGAGUGAGACGGCGAGUGCGAACAUCCGUUGUCAAGAGGGAAACAACCCAGACCUGCUGCUAAGGUCCCCAAGUUGAUGCUGAGUGGGAAAGGUUGUGUGGCCGCCCAGACAGCCAGGAGGUUGGCUUAGAAGCAGCCAUCCUUGAAAGAGUGCGUAACAGCUCACUGGUCGAGUAGCCAUGCGCCGAUGCUGGAACGGGGCAAAGCAUCGCACCGAAGCACAGGACGGUCGGAAGACCGUGGUAGGGGAGCGUCGUCCCGGCGACGAAGCCACAGCGGAAGCCGUGGUGGAGCGGGGACGAGUGCGAAUGACGGAAUGAGUAACAGAGAAGGGGGGUGAGAACCCCCCCCACCGAAAGUCUGAGGGUUCCGCCGCAAGGGUGAUCCGCGGCGGGUUAGUCGGGCCUAAGGCACAGGCGAGAGCCGCAGCCGAUGGACAACAGGUCAUACAUUCCUGUACCACCCGUUACCGUUUGACUGACGCAGGAUACUGAGGGGCAGGUUCCGCGGCGAGACGUGCGCCGUCCAAGCUGGUAGGGAGCCGGGGGAGGCAAAUCCCCUCCGGCGAUGACCGAGAGGCGAUGGGGAGGAGACCCCGCGAGGGGUCGUCCGACGGGAUUGCGCCUGAGCAGUCGAGAAAGGCCUGCUAGGGAGGGAACGUGGUGCCCGUACCGCAAACCGACACAGGUAGACUGGUUGAGGAAACCAAGGUGGACGAGUGAUCCCUGGUUAAGGAACUCGGCAAAUUGCCCCCGUACCUUCGGAAGAAGGGGUGCUGCGAACGGGUGAAGCCGCACGCCGGUGGAGCUCGGGGCAGCCGCAGGGGAAGGCCCAGGCGACUGGAUACCAGAACCACAGCUCGCUGCUGAAGCCGCAAGGCGACGUAUAGCGGGUGAUGCCUGCCCAGUGCUGGAAGGUUAAGGGGAGGAGUUCACGCUCCGAACCGAAGCCCCAGUGAACGGCGGCUGUAACUAUAACAGUCCUAAGGUAGCGAAAUUCCUUGUCGGGUAAGUUCCGACCCGCACGAAAGGCAUCACGAUCUGGGCACUGUCUCGACCAGGGGCUCGGUGAAAUUGCAGUGACGGUGAAGAUGCCGUCAACCCAUAGCAGGACAAAAAGACCCCGUGGAGCUUUACUACAACUUGCCAUCGGGUCAGGGCGUAGGAUGCGUAGGAUAGGUGGGAGGCGGAGAAGGCUGGCUUGCGGGCUGGCUGGAGCCGCUGGUGAAAUACCACUCUUCGUGCGCUUUGAUCCUCACCCGCGUGAGCGGGGACGGUGGCUGGUGGGUAGUUUGACUGGGGCGGUCGCCUCCCAAAAGGUAACGGAGGCGCGCAAAGGUUCCCUCAGGUGGGAUGGCAACCCACCCGUGAGUGUAACGGCAACAGGGAGCUUGACUGCAAGACGUACACGUCGCGCAGGCACGAAAGUGGGCCGUAGUGAUCCCACGGUACCGAGUGGAAGGGCCGUGGCUUAACGGACAAAAGCUACCCCGGGGAUAACAGGCUCAGACCCCCCAAGAGUUCACAUCGACGGGGGAGCGUGGCACCUCGAUGUCGGCUCGUCGUAUCCUGGGGCUGGAGUAGGUCCCAAGGGUUGGGCUGUUCGCCCAUUAAAACGGCACGCGAGCUGGGUUCAGAACGUCGUGAGACAGUUCGGUCUCUAUCCGCUAUGGGCGCUUAGAGCAUUGCGAGGGGCUGACCCUAGUACGAGAGGACCGGGUUGGACGAACCGCUGGUGGAGGAGUUGUGGGACGACCCGCAGGCUCCGUAGCUAUGUUCGGAAGCACGAACCGCUGAAAGCAUCUAAGUGGGAAGUGUGCCUCAAGAUAAGUGCUCUCACUGCUACAGGCAGGUAAGACUCCCAGGAGAAGACUGGGGUAGGCGAAUCGCGCUGGAGGCGCCGCGAGGCGUAGAGGCGACGAUGGCGCAGAGUCGAGGGCUUC
rnacentral:rRNA from 1 species